AGCAGCCGCGGUAAUUCCAGCCCCAAUAGCGUAUAUUAAAGUUGUUGCAGUUAAAAAGCUCGUAGUUGAAUUUCGGGAUUGACGUGAUGGUCGUGCCUUAAGGGGUAUGAACUGUCGCAGUUGAUUUCUCACCUUCUGGAGAAGCUUGAUGUCCUUAAUUGGGUGUCAUGUGGAACCAGGACCUUUACCUUGAAAAAAUUAGAGUGUUUAAAGCAGGCAUUUUGCUCGAAUACAUUAGCAUGGAAUAAUAGAAUACGGACGGCAUGGUUCUAUUUUGUUGGUUUCUAGGAUCACCGUAAUGAUUAAUAGGGAUAGUUGGGGGCAUUAGUAUUCAAUUGUCAGAGGUGAAAUUCUUGGAUUUAUUGAAGACUAACUACUGCGAAAGCAUUUGCCAAGGAUGUUUUCAUUAAUCAAGAACGAAAGUUAGGGGAUCGAAGACGAUCAGAUACC
rnacentral:rRNA from 1 species